UUUUAUAUCUAUCAAUUAAUCAAUCAAAAUUUAUUCAUAUAGCACUUUACAGCAACCAGCAGGUAUCCAAAGU